CACGUGAGAGAGCACGGGUGUUAUGGUCAGUUGCUAUUCUAUAUAUGAUUCUAGACAACGUAGGUGAUUUGUGGCUUGUUGCGGGCAGAAGUCAGCAGUAACUCUUUAACCAGUGUUGGAAGAAGACGUAUAGACCAGUGCGGUUGACCAGCGGGUGGUAAAUUCUCCUUCGGCUGCUGCAGCUCUCCAGCCCAGGGCGUUGACUGGCUAGUCUUCAAUUGCCUCCCAACAUGGUAAUGAGGUCCUGAGCUGAUGUGAUCUGUGGCGAAGAGUGAAAGUUGCCUGAAGUAGCGUAUGGCACCCUUUGUAACCAGCAGCUGGCACCAACUUUGGGCAACAUCAGAGUGGACAAGGCCCAGAUCCUGUGGGAGACCUUCUACACUAACGUUAAAGGUUGUGGAGGGUCCUUCGAAACAACUUCAGGAACAACGUACAGAAAAAUUGCCUCUAGUGAUGCUACAGGAAGUAGCAUGUUGUAUGUCAGAAAUAUAGAGGGCAAAAGUAAAAUAUGGAUUGGAAGUCUAGAACGUCAUCCUAGACUUUGAAGGUGUUGAUUGUUUGACAUUCAGAAUCAGCCAAGUGGUUCUAAUGAAGAUUACAAUGGUAUCAAAGUGACUGGCUAAAGUGUGGCUGUUCUAAUGUGCACAUCUAUAAAGCUGGCUGUGAAGGGUCCUUCUAACAUCAGGAACCGAGUACAAAGAAAUUGCUGGUAGUAGCAUGGUUUUGUCAGAAUUAGAGGGCAAAGUAAG